rnacentral:rRNA from 1 species
ACUCCUACGGGAGUCAGCAGUGGGGAAUCUUAGACAAUGGGCGAAAGCCUGAUCUAGCGAUGCCGCGUGUGUGACGAAGGCCUUAGGGUCGUAAAGCACUUUCGCCAGGGAUGAUAAUGACAGUACCUGGUAAAGAAACCCCGGCUAACUCCGUGCCAGCAGCCGCGGUAAUACGGAGGGGGUUAGCGUUGUUCGGAAUUACUGGGGCGUAAAGCGCGCGUAGGCGGACUAUUAAGUCAGGGGUGAAAUCCCGGGGCUCAACCCCGGAACUGCCUUUGAUACUGGUAGUCUUGAGUUCGAGAGAGGUGAGUGGAAUUCCGAGUGUAGAGGUGAAAUUCGUAGAUAUUCGGAGGAACACCAGUGGCGAAGGCGGCUCACUGGCUCGAUACUGACGCUGAGGUGCGAAAGUGUGGGGAGCAAACAGGAUUAGAUACCCUGGUAGACUGUCA